AGCGUUGUCCGGAUUAUUGGGCGUAAAGCGCGCGCAGGCGGAUUGGUCAGUCUGUCUUAAAAGUUCGGGGCUUAACCCCGUGAUGGGAUGGAAACUGCCAAUCUAGAGUAUCGGAGAGGAAAGUGGAAUUCCUAGUGUAGCGGUGAAAUGCGUAGAUAUUAGGAAGAACACCAGUGGCGAAGGCGACUUUCUGGACGAAAACUGACGCUGAGGCGCGAAAGCCAGGGGAGCGAACGGGAUUAGAUACCCCGGUAGUCCUGGCCGUAAACGAUGGGUACUAGGUGUAGGAGGUAUCGACCCCUUCUGUGCCGGAGUUAACGCAAUAAGUACCCCGCCUGGGGAGUACGACCGCAAGGUUGAAACCCAAAGGAAUUGACGGGGGCCCGCACAAGCGGUGGAGUAUGUGGUUUAAUUCGACGCAACGCGAAGAACCUUACCAGGUCUUGACAUUGAUGGACAGAACUAGAGAUAGUUCCUCUUCUUCGGAAGCCAGAAAACAGGUGGUGCACGGUUGUCGUCAGCUCGUGUCGUG
rnacentral:rRNA from 1 species